AGAUGUGAGGGCGAUCUGGCUGCGACAUCUGUCACCCCAUUGAUCGCCAGGGUUGAUUCGUCUGACCUGGCUGGCUAGGCGGGUGUCCCCCUCCUCCCUCACUGAUCCAUGUGCGUCCCUCACGAAGCUGCGUGCUCGGUCGAAGAGGACGACCUUCCCCCCCGAGGAGAGGACCGGUCUUCGGUCAAGGGUAUACGAGUAGCUGCGCUCCCCUGCUAGAACCUCCAAACAAGCUCUCAAAAAUAACAAAUGGAAGCAUAAAGGAAAAGAACCAACGGAGGCACAGAGUU
rnacentral:snRNA from 1 species